rnacentral:rRNA from 1 species
UCGGCAAUGGGCGAAAGCCUGACCGAGCGACGCCGCGUGUGGGAUGAAGGCCUUCGGGUUGUAAACCACUGUCAACGGGGAGGAAAUGUAGGGGGGUACUCCCCUCUACUUGACCUAUCUGUGGAGGAAGUACGGGCUAAGUUCGUGCCAGCAGCCGCGGUAAGACGAACCGUACGAACGUUAUUCGGAAUUACUGGGCUUAAAGGGUGCGUAGGCGGUGCGGUAAGUUGGGUGUGAAAGCCCUCAGCUCAACUGAGGAAUUGCACUCAAAACUACCGUGCUAGAGGGAGACAGAGGUAAGCGGAACUCAAGGUGGAGCGGUGAAAUGCGUUGAUAUCUUGAGGAACACCGGUGGCGAAGGCGGCUUACUGGGUCUUUUCUGACGCUGAGGCACGAAAGCCAAGGUAGCAAACGGGAUUAGAUACCCCGGUAGUCUUGGCUGUAAACGAUGAGCACUUGAUUGAAGGGUCCUCCAUAGCCUUUCAGUCGUAGCGAAAGUGUUAAGUGCUCCGCCUGGGGAGUAUGGUCGCAAGGCUGAAACUCAAAGAA